CCUACGGGAGGCAGCAGUAAGGAAUAUUGGGCAAUGGAGGCAACUCUGACCCAGCCAUGCCGCGUGAAGGAUGAAGGCCCUAUGGGUUGUAAACUUCUUUUGUACGGGAAUAAACCUGGUUACGUGUAACCAGUUGAAUGUACCGUAAGAAUGAGCACCGGCUAACUCCGUGCCAGCAGCCGCGGUAAUACGGAGGGUGCAAGCGUUAUCCGGAUUUAUUGGGUUUAAAGGGAGCGUAGGCGGGAUUGUAAGUCAGUGGUGAAAGCCCGUAGCUCAACUACGGAACUGCCAUUGAUACUGCAGACCUAGAGUACACUUGAAGUGGGCGGAAUGUGUCAUGUAGCGGUGAAAUGCUUAGAUAUGACACAGAACACCAAUUGCGAAGGCAGCUCACUAAAUUGUAACUGACGCUGAGGCUCGAUAGCGUGGGGAUCAAACAGGAUUAGAUACCCUGGUAGUCCACGCCGUAAACGAUGAUUACUCGNUGUGUCGAUACACUGUCAGCGUCUGNGCGAAGACGAUAAGUAAUACCACCGUGGGUAGGUACGGUUCGCGAGACGUUAGAACGUUACGAAGGAAGUUAGACGGCGUUGAGACGNGCGACGGACGACGACGAGGGAGGAGG
rnacentral:rRNA from 1 species